CUUGGUGCCCAUGGCACGAGGGAGACACCUGUUCCCAUUCCGAACACAGCAGUUAAGCCUCGUAGCGGUUACAAUACUUGGGCCAUCAAGCCCUGGGAAAAUAGCACGGUGCCAAAU
rnacentral:rRNA from 1 species